GACGGCAAGCGAUGUGCAAAACUUUAUCCUACACACUUAAUGGAAUUACUGCCAUGUGUGGACUAAUCUCCGCUUAUUAUCUGAUGCUUUU
rnacentral:snoRNA from 7 species